ACUCGGCAGUCGGCAGCAUUAAAUAUUAAGGGCUCCAAUUCUCUAAUGUACCCAAUUACUGUUUGAGUGAUACAUGAACAAUUGAAAAUGUAUAAUUUUGAAAUCCUUCGAAUCCUAAGUUUAGCUACCUACUGGACUAGCGCUAUCCUAACAUUCGAUUGUAAGGUAUUUAAGUAAAAGUUUUACAUUAAUAGAGAACUAAAUUAUUAAAUGGUUUUGAAAGCAAGAAUCUUCAGUUAGUCUUGAGAAAUGAAUCAUUAGGAAAAAAGAUUCGCAGUUGGUAGGAUUCGAACCUACGCCCUCAGAGAGGAAUUGAUUUCUAGUCAAUCGCCUUAACCACUCGGCCACAACUGCACAUACCACUUUAUAAUUUUUAAGAAAGUUAUUCAUCACUGUAAAAGUCUUGGAUGUUUUACGCUACAUGAAAACCAAUAAAUAAAGUUUUCCACGUUGGGAAAAGGGCGUUGAAUCAUCACUUCUGCUUCUGCCUAUCUGGCUGCUUCUGUAUUUAGGUUGAGGAAUGUGUUAGAGUUCCCAUCAACAAACAAAUCAAUACAAGUUUUCCUUGGUGUUCAGGGACUGUUCAAUGUUCAUAAAUUAAAUUCGUUCACAGUUAACAUCAACUAGGAAACAGUUGUAUUACUACGUAUUAAUUUUGAGACCCCCCCCCCCCCACUCCUAAUUUGAUGAUCGGACCCCAACUCACCCCACCCUAAACGUACUACGUAACAUUUUAUGAAUAGCCCCUCAUUUAGGACCACACUGUGUUGAUUGCCAGACAGAGUAGACACACAUGAGUCUGAUCCAAAUUUUUCAGAAAAGUUUGAAGAUAACAAAUAAAUUUUAUAUCAUACAGGCUUGAAACUACUAGCUCACUGCUCACGCAGUAAUUGUAUCCAAAAUGCAACCCAAAAAUCCUUCAAAAGAAUCGAAUUAUAUAUUUUAUUUACAACAGUAGCCGCUUCACUCGCUUGUGAAUCAUGGGAAAUUCAACCAACGGAAGUGAACGUAAAAUUUAGCUAUCAAGAUUACAGACCAGUUUGCAAUUCCCGAUUGACGUCAACGGCAGCUGCUUGACAUUCAAAGAGUGUCAACAACACACAAUAAGAGAAUAAACUACUGCUGGUAGCACACAAAAUCUUCACUAUGGAUACCACAGUCUGUCGGGGUUGGCUAGGCGACAGCGACAAGGACGUUGCAUCGAUCAACGGUACACAUACAGAUUCUAGCAUUCGAACAAGCACAAAGGCCCAUCCCAAAAGAUUUUAUUUCUCCUAGCCCUUCUAAAAUAUGGAAAUGAGAAGAGUGUAUUCAAUUGUACAGCCUUCUUCUGCAGUAAAUAUAGAGUUUUAAAAAUAGAUUUCAACACAACAAAAAACAUAUUUUAUUUGAUGUAUCGCGCAUUAAAGGAGAUACAAUGUGCAAGGACGGAGUGUCAACGAGCAGACAUGGCAUUUGAAACAUAAUUCGCAAUCAUUGACGACAUUUGAACCUUGA